AUGGCAUUUAGUGCAGCAUGUAUACUAAAACUGGAAUUGGCCCCUGUGCAAGGAUGGCAUGCAAAUUUGUGAAGCAUUCCAUAUUUUU
rnacentral:snRNA from 1 species